rnacentral:rRNA from 1 species
UAGGGAAUCUUCGGCAAUGGGGGCAACCCUGACCGAGCAACGCCGCGUGAGUGAAGAAGGUUUUCGGAUCGUAAAGCUCUGUUGUAAGAGAAGAACGUGUGUGAGAGUGGAAAGUUCACACAGUGACGGUAACUUACCAGAAAGGGACGGCUAACUACGUGCCAGCAGCCGCGGUAAUACGUAGGUCCCGAGCGUUGUCCGGAUUUAUUGGGCGUAAAGCGAGCGCAGGCGGUUUAAUAAGUCUGAAGUUAAAGGCAGUGGCUUAACCAUUGUUCGCUUUGGAAACUGUUAGACUUGAGUGCAGAAGGGGAGAGUGGAAUUCCAUGUGUAGCGGUGAAAUGCGUAGAUAUAUGGAGGAACACCGGUGGCGAAAGCGGCUCUCUGGUCUGUAACUGACGCUGAGGCUCGAAAGCGUGGGGAGCAAACA